rnacentral:rRNA from 1 species
CAGCACCUCAAGUGGUCAGGAUGAUUAUUGGGCCUAAAGCAUCCGUAGCCGGCUCUGUGAGUUUUCGGUUAAAUCUGUACGCUCAACGUACAGGCUGCCGGGAAUACUGCAGAGCUAGGGAGUGGGAGAGGUAGACGGUACUCGGUAGGAAGGGGUAAAAUCCUUUGAUCUAUUGAUGACCACCUGUGGCGAAGGCGGUCUACCAGAACACGUCCGACGGUGAGGGAUGAAAGCUGGGGGAGCAAACCGGAUUAGAUACCCGAGUAGUCC